ACUGGAGACAGUGUUAAGUUAGCAGCAAGCUCACAACCGGUGAAGGCGUAGUUUUGGAAGCAUCAUCGCGGCCUGGGAACAAAAUAAGGAUCCACCCGACAAGCAGUUAGCCACAGGAGUCAUCACAGGACUGGACCAGAACAAGGAAG